rnacentral:lncRNA from 10 species
UCCAAUACAAGGCCCCAGAGUAGUGCAUGCAAAUCAACGACCCUCAAAGUGACAGUCAUUGUCAGAUAACAAGCACAAUCUGCUACAGUCUGUGACCUGGUAAAGAGACCACCUUUUCAUUUUGAGUCCCAUCACCAACUAUGCCAAUGUCCAACCUACCACACAGCUCACAAUGACUCAGAGGUACAUUUUAGUAUCUGAACAGCAAAGACAUAUUGAGCUGCAAGUACAAUGAGUAAGUAUCCUUAGUGUAUUAGACAGGGUAAAUACAAACAAGGCAUAAAAGGGAAAAGCCAACUUCAUCUGAUGCCUGAAUCCCUAAGUCUCUUCCAUCUUUUCUCAUGAUCUGUGUCUAGGGAGAUCUGCUAUGCCAUAUCAAGACCUUGCUCAUCUGGUGAUGAGACGGGGCUGUUUGCCUUGGAAGACUAAAGAAAGGGUGAAUAUUCACAUGAGGAAGCUGCAAUGCAUGUUGUGAUUGGAACACGGGGCCUCUCACCCUCAGUGAUGUCACGUGCAAAGGGCAGCACUGGAUUUACAGAUGACAGAAGACCUACGUUCCAGGCCUAGCUCUGCCAAUUCCUGUGUGACCGUGGAUAAGUAACUCAACAUCUCUUGAGCCUCACUUCACUUACUAUCUGUAAAAUGAGACCAAUCACCUUCUUGCAGAGUUGUUA